rnacentral:rRNA from 1 species
AUGCCAACUACAGAUACCAGUGUGCCAACUGAUGUGCCAGUUAGCAGUGUGGUCACAGUCAAAACCACCACUGCUGCUCAGGGAGGCACCACUUCAACUGCAAGCCCCAAGGUGUCUACUCAUAGAGAUGCUUCAAUGCCAAACACGAAAGGAGGUGAUCAAACUACCAAAGUGCCGUCCCCAAGAGCUAGCACACAGCAGCCAAGCAAGCCUGCAUCACCAAGAGCUGACUUUCAGCACUCAUUAACACAAGAGGAUGUCUUCAACAUUAUAAGUAGGUGCAAGCCUUCAAGGCUGCCAACUACAACACUACUGCGAACCAAGUCAGUGAAUGAUGCACCCGUGUAUGUGCCGCAAGGAGAUGCCCUGGGCCUUGAACCCAUACGGAGAUCAAACUCUUACACCUUUCAUGGCGACGGGUUCUGCGAUGCACCAUCUUUUGACCUUGGUAAAGAUGGUGAUGCUCCAACACCUGCUCCAGCAGCAGAAACAGCAGAAACAACACCUGCUCCAGCAGCAGAAACAGCGGAAGCCGGUGCUGUUGCCAUAGAUGAGGGUGAGUUGGACCCAGCAGCUAAAAAUGAAGGAUGCGCUGCUGGUGAUGCUGGCAAGGCAAUAGCUCAAGAGCCAGCUGUUGGAUCACCAGACAAUUGCCACACCCCGAUAUGCGCAGAACCAGAAGUUGGCACGAGCAGUUCUUCAGGACCACCUGUUGCACGAAGACAGAGGAGGGUAAUAAGGCCUGUGGUAUCUCAAAGGUCUCCAUUCAUUGACUACAACAAGAAGAAGACGUUCACCUCCAAUGAGGCAGUCAACAAGCUUUACGCUGCCCUCUUGUAUUGGGUCAGGCAUCACCCAGGUGCAAAUGAUGAGCUUACCAGCCCUGAGAUAAUCAGGUAUGGUACUUUCUACAUUUCUUUAAAGGAGUUAGUUGAUUCCAUGAAGCCGGUUCAAUGGCUGUCAAGAACUGUUAUUGAGACUGGAAUCUUACACAUCAUGGGUAACUUACCAGAAGGGUCAAAGAAGGUUGUUAUGCCACUGAGGUUUUCUACCAAUUUACAGCAAGGGAUCCACAAUGUGAAUGAGAUAAACAAGAAGUUUGAAUACAAGAACCGUCUGGACAAGCAAGACUUGGUCAUGCUGCCAGUGCUCGAGUGCGCUGAUAUAAAUGAUAAGGAGGGAGGGAGGCAUUAUUGGGUUUUCAAUGUCAACUUGAGGGACGGACGCUUCGAAGUUCUUGAUUCAAGCAGGAAGCUGGACAACAUUGAGCUCAUGAACACCGCCUCUAUCAUCGCGGGUAUAGUGCGCCACCUAUGGAGGAAGCAUUACCCAAAGUUCAGCAUCGAGCACUUCCAGAUUAUUGACAUUGAUGUACCGAAGCAGCUCGGCAAUAAUGAGUGUGGGCUGUUCGCACUGCUUAACGCCACUGAGUGGAACAGUAGCCAACUGCCCAACUAUGAACCCAAGGAAGUACUCAACAUCAGGAAGAAGCUGGCAUAUGAUUGGGUCACCAGCCUGCACAACUCCGCCCCAUGGAGGAAGUUGCUCAGAUACGACAAGGACUAG